UCCGAUAUGGUGUAGUGGCUAACAUUAUCGCCUCUCAUGGAAUGUGAUGAUGAAUGAAAAAUCGCGCGAUAGCCCGGGGUUCGAUUCCCCGUGUCGGAA